rnacentral:rRNA from 2 species
UGGCUCAGGACGAACGCUGGCGGCGUGCCUAAUACAUGCAAGUCGAGCGGACAGAUGGGAGCUUGCUCCCUGAUGUUAGCGGCGGACGGGUGAGUAACACGUGGGUAACCUGCCUGUAAGACUGGGAUAACUCCGGGAAACCGGGGCUAAUACCGGAUGGUUGUUUGAACCGCAUGGUUCAAACAUAAAAGGUGGCUUCGGCUACCACUUACAGAUGGACCCGCGGCGCAUUAGCUAGUUGGUGAGGUAACGGCUCACCAAGGCAACGAUGCGUAGCCGACCUGAGAGGGUGAUCGGCCACACUGGGACUGAGACACGGCCCAGACUCCUACGGGAGGCAGCAGUAGGGAAUCUUCCGCAAUGGACGAAAGUCUGACGGAGCAACGCCGCGUGAGUGAUGAAGGUUUUCGGAUCGUAAAGCUCUGUUGUUAGGGAAGAACAAGUACCGUUCGAAUAGGGCGGUACCUUGACGGUACCUAACCAGAAAGCCACGGCUAACUACGUGCCAGCAGCCGCGGUAAUACGUAGGUGGCAAGCGUUGUCCGGAAUUAUUGGGCGUAAAGGGCUCGCAGGCGGUUUCUUAAGUCUGAUGUGAAAGCCCCCGGCUCAACCGGGGAGGGUCAUUGGAAACUGGGGAACUUGAGUGCAGAAGAGGAGAGUGGAAUUCCACGUGUAGCGGUGAAAUGCGUAGAGAUGUGG